rnacentral:rRNA from 1 species
GACGAACGCUGGCGGCGUGCCUAAUACAUGCAAGUCGAACGAGAGCGACCGGUGCUUGCACUGGUCAAUCUAGUGGCGAACGGGUGAGUAACACGUGGGUAACCUGCCCAUCAGAGGGGGAUAACAUCCGGAAACGGAUGCUAAAACCGCAUAGGUCUUCGAGCCGCAUGGCUUGAAGAGGAAAAGAGGCGCAAGCUUCUGCUGAUGGAUGGACCCGCGGUGCAUUAGCUAGUUGGUGAGGUAACGGCUCACCAAGGCCGUGAUGCAUAGCCGACCUGAGAGGGUGAUCGGCCACAUUGGGACUGAGACACGGCCCAAACGCCUACGGGAGGCAGCAGUAGGGAAUCUUCCGCAAUGGACGCAAGUCUGACGGAGCAACGCCGCGUGAGUGAAGAAGGUUUUCGGAUCGUAAAACUCUGUUGUUAGAGAAGAACAAGUGCUAGAGUAACUGUUAGCGCCUUGACGGUAUCUAACCAGAAAGCCACGGCUAACUACGUG